AUUGAACGCUGGCGGCAUGCCUAACACAUGCAAGUCGAACGAGUGGCGGACGGGUGAGUAAUGUCUGGGCAACUGCCUGAUGGAGGGGGAUAACUACUGGAAACGGUAGCUAAUACCGCAUACCAUCAGAUGUGCCCAGAUGGGAUUAGCUGGUUGGUGGGGUAACGGCUCACCAAGGCGACGAUACCUACCUGGUCUGAGAGGAUGAACAGCCACACUGGAACUGAGCAACGGUCCAGACUCCUACGGGAGGCAGCAGUGGGGAAUAUUGCACAAUGGGCGAAAGCCUGAGGCAGCAAUGCCGAGUGUAUGAAGAAGGCCUUCGGGUUGUAAAGUACUUUAAGCGGGGAGGCGUUACCCGAAGAAGAAGCAACGGCUAACUCCGUGCCAGCAGCCGCGGUAAUAC
rnacentral:rRNA from 1 species